GGGGACGUAGUUUAAUUAAGAAUGCAGCUUUUGUAAAGCUGUGGUGCGCUUAUUCACUUUGUGGCUGUUCCCA
rnacentral:tRNA from 1 species